rnacentral:lncRNA from 1 species
UAAAGUUUUGGGAUAAAAUUAAAAAAUUAAAAAGACUAAAGAUUUGGGACGGAGAGAGUAAUAAACAGUCUCCCCAGUACAAGGUGUACUGAGAACGACUAAAAAUAUUUACAAGGAGUCUAGGAAAAAAACCAUAAAACAAAUCAUAGAAAGCCCGAACAAAGUAAAAGAUCAGACCACCAACAAUGGUAGUUUGAGACUAAAGUCACACUCGUCGUCUUCAACCACCUAUAGGACAACAACUUGAUCUUAUCCAACAAUUGAUGAGAAAUACUUGUUGAACCGCUGAAUAAUCUAUGAUUUCUUUCCGUCCAAAUAACCCAAACACAAACAAGCCAAAUAAGCUGCAUAAAAGACCGUCGUGCGCAAGAACCGCCGGCUGAAGAAAUGAACUGGACAAAAUGAUCACACAAACUAAUGUAGUCCACCAUAUGAACGUCAAUCCACGAUCGAACCAAUGCCUAAAGAGAACCAGAAGUACUACAAGAGAGGAACUGGUGAUAAGCCGACUCGACCCCUCCACAUCCAGAAACACAAGAGAUAGCUGUAGACGAUAAGAUGCCNNNNNNNNNNNNNNNNNUUAGUGUGCAGCCGAUCCCGCAGUAAACGCCAUGCUAAAAUAGAAACCUUCAUGGGUACCUGUUUGUGCCAAAUAAAAUCAUAACUAGCAUCCAAAAUAACCGAG